GACGAACGCUGGCGGCGGGGUUUAGGCAUGCAAGUCGCACGAGAAAGCCGCAAGGUGAGUACAGUGGCGUAAGGGUGAGUAAUGGUUAGUCAACGUACCGAGCAGACGCGAAUAAUUUUCCGAAAGGAAUUGUAAUGCGCGAUGAGACCACGAGCUGUACGCAGCAUGAGGUCAAAGGUCGGGGCUCCUUCGGGACCCGGCGCUGUUUGAGCGGACUAACUCUGAUUAGCUAGUUGGCGGGGUAACGGCCCACCAAGGCGAUGAUCAGUAGCCGGGCUGAGAGGCUGUCCGGCCACACGGGCACUGAGAUACUGGCCCGACUCCUACGGGAGGCUGCAGUCGCGAAUUUUUCACAAUGGACGCAAGUCUGAUGAAGCCACGCCGCGUGCGGGAAUGAAGGCCCUCUGGGUUGUAAACCGCUGUCGAGGGAGGGGAACCGCUGUAUGUGAAUAGCAUGCAGUCUGAACUGCUCUCUGAAGGAAGCCCCGGCAAAAAU
rnacentral:rRNA from 1 species